GCUGAGUCUCCUGUGAUCCCAAUAAGGAAGAAGAAUGCAGAAACUCCUGACCGUGUCUUUGGUGAUUCUGUGGCUUCAACUGGCCAGGGUGAAUAGCCAGCAAGGAGAAGAGAAUCUUCAGGCCCUGAGCAUCCAGGAGGGUGAAAAUGCCACCAUGAACUGCAGUUAUAAAACUUCUAUAGACACCUUACAUUGGUACAGACAGGAUUCAAGGAGAGGCUUUGCCCACCUGAUUUUAAUACGUUCAAAUGAGAGAGAGAAGCGUAGUGGAAGACUGCGAGUCACGCUUGACAGCUCCAUCAAAAGCAGUUCCCUGUCUAUCACGGCUUCCCAGGCUGCAGACGCUGCUACUUACCUCUGUGCUACGGAUACACACGGCAACUAUCAGUUGACCUGGGGCUCUGGGACCAAGCUAAUUAUAAAGCCAGAUAUCCAGAACCCCGACCCUGCCGUGUACCAGCUGAGAAGCCCCAAAUCCAGCAACACCUCCGUCUGCUUAUACACCGAUUUUGAAUCUCAAGCCAACGUGUCACAAGUCACGAGGCCCGUGGUGUUCGGCUCAGACAGCACGGUGCUAGACAUGGGAGCCUUGGGUUCCAAGAGCAACGGGGUCGUGGCCUGGGGCAGCGGGACCGAUUUGGGAUGCGCAGACACCUUCAACCAGACCUUCUACUCCAGCUUAGGAAUCCCCUGUGAUGCCAAGAUAGCAGAGAAAAGCUUUGAAACAGAUAUGAACCUAAACUUCCAAAACUUGUCAGUGAUCGGGUUCCGCGUCCUCCUCCUGAAAGUGGUCGGGUACAACCUGCUCAUGACGCUGCGGCUGUGGUCCAGCUGAGGUCUCCAAGAACGUGCUCCCUCUCCCCUUGUUCCUUGUCGCCCCUCCUCUCCCUCUUCAAGCAGAGAGGUGCACUCUCUGCCCCCGUGGACAGGAAGCCUCCCUCCGCCUCUCUGGCCCCACUAGCAAUACCACCAACUGGAUCCUACCAGAUAUUCGUGAUCAAGACGCUGAAGAGCUGCCCAGCACUGCUGCCACCCCCUCUGUUCCCUCACUGCUGCUUGUCACUGCCUGGCAUUCUCAGCAAAGACGGAGCCCGCUGCAGCCUCUCCUGGCUGUGGGGAAACUCCCUCCCCGCCCCUCCCCUCCCAGCGACUGCCUCUGAUGUCCCCCUGAAGGAUGGAUCCCAGUGGGUUCUCUUGGGCUCUAGCUCCUGGGCAAUGUUGUGUGCUGUUUAUAUUUUUUACACACUGUUCAUAAAGAAAUACGUAUCACCCUUUUUCCCAAGAUGUGGGGGAGAUUAUCUCAUGAUCUAGGCCCUGCUCUGCUUGUGUAUCUGAGCCACGUUGUA